GAAAAAGAAGUCAUGCAGUUUUGCAACAUGUGGCAAACCUGCUACACAAAGUUGGCAAAGCGUGCACAAUUCCCACUACUACCCAUCCACACCUAUGGGCUUUCAACCCUUCAAGCAGUAAAUAAAAAUGGAGGCUCCCUCAAGACCUGUGUUUGUGAUUCAGUCCUGGAGCUGUCAGAACAUGAAGCUGUCUGGCUUUUUGUCUUGUGUCAAGUCCAAAGCCCAGCACCUCUAGCGUGCCACAGAUCUGCUUACCAAAAACCAGCUGGCUGCAACCAGCCAUCAAAGACCACAAAGAGAGGCCUCUCAGGAGAUGGAGGACCUGACAUUCCUCAGGAUGAGUGCCUUGAGAUAUGAAACACACAAGAGAUCGAAUGACAGACUGUUUAAUAUUUGCCACUGCUUUCAGGUAAAUGACUUGAGUCAUUCAGUCUGCAUCUGAAGAAAAUGUGCUGAAUAUGUGUCUGUUUUGUAAUCUGAAGGGAACAUGUUUGCUGUGCCUCUUGGGCGGCUCAGAGGUAAGACGACGCAGAUGUCCAUAACAUGUUCCACAGCUGGGAGUGAUCGAGACCAGUCACUCAACGCUGGUGAAAAAUGGACUUGGGAUGGAGAAAGGCAAGUCUUCUGUAAUUGGAUGGUGGUUGAGAGGGGGCCUCGGAGGGUGGAGGCAAAAAAGCUUGUAGGGGAGAAGGGGUAUUUGCAGUCUUUGCCAAAGCCACUUCAUUUUGCUACAAGGACUCGCAGCGAGACAAAGAGAAGGCAGAGCUUUGCUAAUCAGGUAGGUGUGAUGCUGUUUUCUACUGGCUACUUGGAAGAUUUAUUAUUUAUUUAUUUAUUUUUGUCUUAUUUUGCAUUUCUGCCUCAAUGGAGACUUUGGAUUUGGUACUAAGUGGAACAAGCUCACAGUAGUUGAAUACAGGUUGUGUUGCUAUUUUGUGGGAAUAUGUUUUUUCAAGCUGUUUUUACUGUAUAGAUAAAUGAAAUGCCUGGGUUUCCUACCUGACCUGUUCGUUUUUAUACAAUAGCCAUUAUUUUUCAGUUGUAUCACACGCAAGUAACUUUUUGCCUGAUCUGCAAUAAUUUCAGUAUUUAGUUUUUAUCUAUAAUUCCAUUUUUGGUGUUCCUGCACCUUUCCCGGUUGCAAAACCAUUUUGAAGCAAUCAAAACUGAUUUUGGUUCUUCAGCCUGAUCUGAUUUGCUAUGGUUACAGAUGGAUUUUGGGCACUUGUCAUCUAGACAAUCUAGAACACCAGCUAGCCACCCAGACCAGCCAGAAAAAAAAAAUGCUUAAACCAGUUAAAGAUGGUUUGUCUUCACUAUUUUACCUGGUUUCCCAGCCUGGCGAGGCUGUUUGCUGGUUUAACUAGUCAUAAAAUGACCAAAACUCUAAUAAAAGCAGCCAGAUUUUGCUGGAAAAAGCA
ensembl:lncRNA